CGCAGCUGUGGUGGCAUUUGGCAACCCUGGCUGCCCACAGUUACGACAGCCCCGCAUCUGCCAGCUGGGGGCGGGGAACCCGGGACCUGCCCCUGCCUCUGCCUCUUGCCGCCUCCUCCCAGGAGCCCCCUCCCAGGAGCCCAGACACCCUGUCUGCAGCCCUUCCCGCUCUCCCUUUCCCCGUAGCGCUUUCCACCACCAACAUCACAAUUGCUUGCAGCCACCAGAAAGUCAGGGUCCCCAGGGCAGGAAUUGUGUCUGUGUUGGUCAUGCUCUGUCCCCAAACCAGUCUGCAAUCAGAGCCCGAGAGUGAUUAACCCCUGCUGUGGGCCAGGUGCUGUGCUGGGUGCAGGCGCACACUGCGCGGGGCACGGGCAGAGCUCCCCCGUGCUUGGGAAGCUCGUGUUCUAGAGAAGACGAUGCUCGUCAGCAAUGCAGUCAUCGCUCCAACGAAAUGCAGAAGUGCAGCUGUGGACGAGGAGGAGACAGGUUCCCGGCAAGGUGCACCUGCAGCGGCGGGGGAGGGGCGUCUGGGGCGGGGGAGUGUCUCCCUGGCGCGGGGCCCCUGCAGGGGCUGGUUCACGUGUGGAUGGCGCACCUACUCGUUGCCAGGCCUCUGGGGAAGACCCCGAGUCCUGGAGAACGACCCUCUCUGCGGCUGGGGCAGAAGGACGAGGACGGAGGACCAAACAGUCCUCUAGCUCCAGACUUUGAGGCGGGACCCUGAGGUGCCCACCAGGAAGUGACAAGCGGCCUCCUGUACAAUGGAAGGAAACUGAGGUACGAGAACACAAUGGUGCAGUCACCUCUGACGCUUACCCAGCACGCACUCGGAGCCAGGCGCCGUGCGAAGGCCUCAGCCCUGCAUCGUGCCCUUUGGUCCUCUCAACGCCGUCACGGCAGGAAGUGAAUACCAUCGCCGCCACCUGACAUGUGGGGGGCAAGUCGGACCCCACCACCGGGGAACAGGGCACCUGGGACGAGAAGGCAGGUCUGGCUCCAGAAGCCAGACUCAUAAGCUUGGCACUUCCUGCAGGGAAGUGGGGGUGGCGGUGGGAGGGAAGGGGUGAGGGACGCUGGUUGAGACAAAGAUAAGCCCUUAUCUGGGGGACAGAGAGCUGUGGAAUAAAUACUUGUGAGAAUGAGGGGUACCUGGGUCGCCUGGCUGGCUCGGUCGGUAGAGCACGCGACUCUUGACCCUGGAGUUGUAGGUUCCAGCCCCAUGUUGGGCAAAAAGAUUACUUAAAUAAAUAAAUAAAAUCUUUAAAAAAAAAAAAAAAAAAGGAAUGUAGGGUCUCCCCGGUCAGUUCUCCCUACCUUAGACUGCCCAGGGCAGCUUGGAGAAGUCCCCGUCUCCAGCCUGUCCCAGCAAUCACAGGAUUCAGCUUCAUUCAUUCAGUCUGUCAGUCUGUCGGUCUGUCAGUCAGCCAGUCAACAGGAAACAGAAGAGAGGAAGAAAGGAGACCAAACAUAUCCACGUAAAUAAAA